AGAGUUUGAUCCUGGCUCAGGAUGAACGCUGGCGGCGUGCUUAACACAUGCAAGUCGAACGAUCCUUCGGGAUAGUGGCGGACGGGUGAGUAACGCGUGGGAAUCUGCCCUCAGGAGGGGGAUAACGGCUGGAAACGGCCGCUAAUACCCCAUAUGCCGAGAGGUGAAAUGAAUUUCGCCUGAGGAUGAGCCCGCGUCUGAUUAGCUAGUUGGUGGGGUAAAGGCCUACCAAGGCAACGAUCAGUAGCUGGUCUGAGAGUAUGAUCAGCCACACUGGGACUGAGACACGGCCCAGACUCCUACGGGAGGCAGCAGUGGGGAAUUUUCCGCAAUGGGCGAAAGCCUGACGGAGCAACGCCGCGUGAGGGAUGAAGGCCUCUGGGCUGUAAACCUCUUUUUCUCAAGGAAGAAGACCUGACGGUACUUGAGGAAUAAGCCACGGCUAAUUCCGUGCCAGCAGCCGCGGUAAUACGGGAGUGGCAAGCGUUAUCCGGAAUUAUUGGGCGUAAAGCGUCCGCAGGCGGCCUUGUAAGUCUGUUGUUAAAGCGUGGAGCUCAACUCCAUUUAAGCUAUGGAAACUACAAGGCUGGAGUGUGGUAGGGGCAGAGGGAAUUCCCGGUGUAGCGGUGAAAUGCGUAGAUAUCGGGAAGAACACCAGUGGCGAAGGCGCUCUGCUGGGCCAUAACUGACGCUCAUGGACGAAAGCCAGGGGAGCGAAAGGGAUUAGAUACCCCUGUAGUCCUGGCCGUAAACGAUGAACACUAGGUGUCGGGGGAAUCGACCCCCUCGGUGUCAUAGCCAACGCGUUAAGUGUUCCGCCUGGGGAGUACGCACGCAAGUGUGAAACUCAAAGGAAUUGACGGGGGCCCGCACAAGCGGUGGAGUAUGUGGUUUAAUUCGAUGCAACGCGAAGAACCUUACCAGGGUUUGACAUCCUGCGAACCCCUGAGAAAUCGGGGGGUGCCUUCGGGAGCGCAGAGACAGGUGGUGCAUGGCUGUCGUCAGCUCGUGUCGUGAGAUGUUGGGUUAAGUCCCGCAACGAGCGCAACCCACGUCUUUAGUUGCCAGCAUUCAGUUGGGCACUCUAGAGAGACCGCCGGUGAUAAACCGGAGGAAGGUGUGGAUGACGUCAAGUCAUCAUGCCCCUUACAUCCUGGGCUACACACGUACUACAAUGCUACGGACAAAGGGCAGCAAGCUCGCGAGAGUUAGCAAAUCCCAUAAACCGUAGCUCAGUUCAGAUCGUAGGCUGCAACUCGCCUACGUGAAGGAGGAAUCGCUAGUAAUCGCAGGUCAGCAUACUGCGGUGAAUACGUUCCCGGGCCUUGUACACACCGCCCGUCACACCAUGGAAGUUGGCCAUGCCCGAAGUCGUUACUCCAACCCUUGUGGAGGAGGACGCCGAAGGU
rnacentral:rRNA from 1 species